rnacentral:rRNA from 1 species
CCUACGGGUGGCUGCAGUGGGGAAUAUUGCACAAUGGGGGAAACCCUGAUGCAGCGACGCCGCGUGAGUGAAGAAGUAAUUCGUUAUGUAAAGCUCUAUCAGCAGGGAAGAAAAUGACGGUACCUGAGUAAGAAGCCCCGGCUAACUACGUGCCAGCAGCCGGGGUAAUACGUAGGGGGCAAGCGUUAUCCGGAUUUACUGGGUGUAAAGGGAGCGUAGACGGCAGUGCAAGUCUGGAGGGAAAGGCGGGGGCCCAACCCCCGGACUGCGCUGGAAAAUGUACGGCUUGAGUGCAGGAGGGGUAAGUGGAAUUCCUAGUGUAGCGGUGAAAGGCGUAGAUAUUAGGAGGAACACCAGUGGCGAAGGCGGCUUACUGGACUGUAACUGACGUCGAGGCUCGAAAGCGUGGGGAGCAAACAGGAUUAGAUACCCUGGUAGUC